AUUCCAGAGGUGGUGCCCCCGCACCACUCCGGCAGCAAGCGAAGGUGUCGUUGACACCCGUGGUAUAGUCCCCCCGGCUAUACCACGAUAUUUUUUU
rnacentral:ncRNA from 1 species